GACGAACGCUGGCGGCGUGCUUAACACAUGCCAGUCGAACGGAAAGGCCCUGCUUGCAGGGUAUUCGAGUGGCGAACGGGUGAGUAACACGUGGGUGAUCUGCCCUGCACUUCGGGAUAAGCCUGGGAAACUGGGUCUAAUACCGGAUAGGAGCCAUUUUUAGUGUGAUGGUUGGAAAGUUUUUUCGGUGUAGGAUGAGCUCGCGGCCUAUCAGCUUGUUGGUGGGGUAAUGGCCUACCAAGGCGGCGACGGGUAGCCGGCCUGAGAGGGUGGACGGCCACAUUGGGACUGAGAUACGGCCCAGACUCCUACGGGAGGCAGCAGUGGGGAAUAUUGCACAAUGGGCGCAAGCCUGAUGCAGCGACGCCGCGUGGGGGAUGACGGCCUUCGGGUUGUAAACUCCUUUCGCUAGGGACGAAGCUUUUUGUGACGGUACCUAGAUAAGAAGCACCGGCUAACUACGUG
rnacentral:rRNA from 1 species